rnacentral:tRNA from 1 species
ACUUAUAUAGUAUUAUUUACAUUUAAUUUCCAAUUAAAAACUCUAAUAAACU